UACGGAGGGUGCAAGCGUUAUCCGGAUUCACUGGGUUUAAAGGGUGCGUAGGUGGCCAACUAAGUCAGACGUGAAAUCCCUCAGCUUAACUGGGGAACUGCGUCUGAGACUGGAUGGCUUGAGUGCAGGAGAGGAACGCGGAAUUCCAGGUGUAGCGGUGAAAUGCGUAGAUAUCUGGAGGAACACCGGUGGCGAAGGCGGCGUUCUGGACUGCUACUGACACUGAGGAACGAAAGCCAGGGGAGCAAACGGG
rnacentral:rRNA from 1 species